rnacentral:RNase_P_RNA from 1 species
GUCGCAGACCGUUCUAUCGCGUUCCUUACGGGGAAUGAGGAAAGUCCGGGCAACACAGGGCACCAUGCUUCCUAACGGGAAGGCGGGUGUAAGCCUGCAGCAGUGUAACAGAAAACAACCGCUGCUCCGGACCUCGGUCCGAAACAGUAAGGGUGAAAAGGCGGGGUAAGAGCCCACCGGUAUCUGUGGCAACACAGGUAGCCGUACGCCUCAUGGGUUGUAAGGCCAAAUAUAUUGCGAGUCCGCAAGGACACAGUGCGGCCCGCGCUGGUUCCGGUUAGCCGGAAGUCGCAAGGGGUAGGCUGCUCGAGGCUGCCGGUGACGGUAGUCCCAGAUAAAUGAUAGAAGCCUUGCUUCGGCAAGGUACAGAACCCGGCUUACAGGUCUGCGAUUUUU